CAGCCGCCGCGGGAAUACGGAGGGUGCAAGCGUUAAUCGGAAUUACUGGGCGUAAAGCGCACGCAGGCGGUCUGACAAGUCAGAUGUGAAAUCCCCGGGCUUAACCUGGGAACUGCAUUUGAAACUGUCAGGCUGGAGUCUUGUAGAGGGGGGUGGAAUUCCAGGUGUAGCGGUGAAAUGCGUAGAGAUCUGGAGGAAUACCGGUGGCGAAGGCGGCCCCCUGGACAAAGACUGACGCUCAGGUGCGAAAGCGUGGGGAGCAAACAGGAUUAGAUACCCGUGUAGUCCCUGUCUAUUAUAC
rnacentral:rRNA from 1 species